rnacentral:rRNA from 1 species
GGAGGGGUGCAAGCGUUAUUCGGAAUCACUGGGCGUAAAGAGCGCGUAGGCGGUUUCUAAAGUCAGAUGUGAAAGCCCGGGGCUCAACCCCGGAAGUGCAUUUGAAACUUAGGGACUUGAGUAUGGGAGAGGGAAGUGGAAUUCCUGGUGUAGCGGUGAAAUGCGUAGAUAUUAGGAGGAACACCGGUGGCGAAGGCGACUUCCUGGACCAAUACUGACGCUGAGGCGCGAAGGCGUGGGGAGCAAACAGGAUUAGAUACCCUGGUAGUCCACGCAGUAAACGUUGAACACUAGGUGUAGCGGGUAUUGACCCCUGCUGUGCCGCAGCUAACGCAUUAAGUGUUCCGCCUGGGGAGUACGGCCGCAAGGCUA